rnacentral:ncRNA from 1 species
GAAAACCCCUUUUGAAAAAAGUGGUUUUCGAGACUUUCCGCAAAAUAAUGGCCGAAGUAAAUUCGGCCACCAAGGGCGGAACUGCAAAUCUCGCGACCUCACGGAGUAAUCUGUGAGAAAAAUCCAACUAUAUCGGGGAAGUCCAGUAACUUCUGGAUAAUCCCGAGGGAAGUCGUCCGCAAGGACUGACCCCGUAGAGACUACACGUUGGCUCCUCUAGAGUACAAAAAAUUUGAGUCGCAGACGCGAAGCGUCGAGAACAAAUUUUUUGAGACGAGCAACAAAUAGACCGUAGCAUAUUUCGCAGAAGCGAAAUUGCGAAGUGUCUAUCAGUUGCGAGGAAGAAGAUAUAGUCCGACCUGCUAAGUAAUUAGCAG